UACGUAGGGGGCAAGCGUUGUCCGGAAUUACUGGGCGUAAAGCGUGCGCAGGCGGUUUUGUAAGCCAGAUGUGAAAGCCCCGGGCUCAACCUGGGAAUGGCAUUUGGGACUGCAAGGCUGGAGUUUGGCAGGGGAGACUGGAAUUCCUGGUGUAGCAGUGAAAUGCGUAGAUAUCAGGAGGAAUACCGAUGGCGAAGGCAGGUCUCUGGGCUAUAACUGACGCUCAUGCACGAAAGCGUGGGGAGCAAACAGG
rnacentral:rRNA from 1 species